GGAUCAUUACUGAGUACUACACUCUCUACCCUUUGUGAACUAUUAUACCUGUUGCUUCGGCGGCGCCCGCGAGGGUGCCCGCCGGUCUCAUCAGAAUCUCUGUUUUCGAACCCGACGAUACUUCUGAGUGUUCUUAGCGAACUGUCAAAACUUUUAACAACGGAUCUCUUGGCUCCAGCAUCGAUGAAGAACGCAGCGAAACGCGAUAUGUAAUGUGAAUUGCAGAAUUCAGUGAAUCAUCGAAUCUUUGAACGCACAUGGCGCCUUCCAGUAUCCUGGGAGGCAUGCCUGUCCGAGCGUCGUUUCAACCCUCGAGCCCCCGUGGCCCGGCGUUGGGGAUCUGCCACGGCAGGCCCCUAAAACCAGUGGCGGACCCGAAGGCCCUCUCCUUUGCGCAGUAGCAUCAGCCUCGCAUUGGGAUCCCUCGGCGUCCUGCCUCUAAACCCCCCACAAGUCCGCUCCGGCGGCACCAAGGUUGACCUCGGAUCAGGUAGGAAUACCCGCUGAACUUAAGCAUAUCAAUAAUCGGAGGAA
rnacentral:rRNA from 1 species